rnacentral:rRNA from 2 species
GGGAGUUGGCGGCUUGACCUAUACAUGCAAGUCGAGCGGACCUUUUAAAGCUUGCUUUUGAAAGGUCAGCGGCGGACGGGUGAGUAACACGUGGGCAACCUGCCUGUAAGACUGGGAUAACUUCGGGAAACCGGAGCUAAUACCGGAUAAUAUAAAGAACCUCCUGGUUCUUUAUUGAAAGAUGGUUUCGGCUAUCACUUACAGAUGGGCCCGCGGCGCAUUAGCUAGUUGGUGAGGUAACGGCUCACCAAGGCGACGAUGCGUAGCCGACCUGAGAGGGUGAUCGGCCACACUGGGACUGAGACACGGCCCAGACUCCUACGGGAGGCAGCAGUAGGGAAUCUUCCACAAUGGACGAAAGUCUGAUGGAGCAACGCCGCGUGAGCGAUGAAGGCCUUCGGGUCGUAAAGCUCUGUUGUUAGGGAAGAACAAGUGCGAGAGUAACUGCUCGCACCUUGACGGUACCUAACCAGAAAGCCACGGCUAACUACGUGCCAGCAGCCGCGGUAAUACGUAGGUGGCAAGCGUUGUCCGGAAUUAUUGGGCGUAAAGCGCGCGCAGGUGGUUCUUUAAGUCUGAUGUGAAAGCCCACGGCUCAACCGUGGAGGGUCAUUGGAAACUGGGGAACUUGAGUGCAGAAGAGGAAAGUGGAAUUCCAAGUGUAGCGGUGAAAUGCGUAGAGAUUUGGAGGAACACCAGUGGCGAAGGCGACUUUCUGGUCUGUAACUGACACUGAGGCGCGAAAGCGUGGGGAGCAAACAGGAUUAGAUACCCUGGUAGUCCACGCCGUAAACGAUGAG